UCAGUGAGGGGAAUAACAUUUAAUACACAUUUCAUAUAUUUCAGAUAUUAUUUGCAAGAUGAUUUAUCUUGAUAUGCAUAUACAUAUACAUACUUACUAAACAUAUUAUCAUAACGUAGUGGAUUACAUGUCAGAGAACAGAUGACACCCGAAGGUGACCAGAUGACACCCGUCGGUGACCAGAUGACACCCGUCGGUGACCACUGUGGGAUGAUCAAUCACCACAGGCUGAUGCCUCUCUCACCAGCUAGGUAACAGAAUACUAUGUGCACACAGGCUAACUAUUCUCCGUUAGCAUGGAGUUACUGACAAGUCCCAUAUCAAGGCAUAAUAGAUAUUCACAUAAUCAUCAAAGAAGCGUAUAUCAUAUCAAAUAGAAUUUACUUUGACAGAUUGCGAAUGCAAAUUCAAGAAUAAAUGAGUACUCGGAAAAUAAAGCAACAUAUAUAAAUAUUCAAGAAACUUACUAGUCGUACUCAUUGUAUAAUCAACAUACAUAUUUAUUUAUAUUAUAUGCAUAUUAAAGAUUAUUCCACUCACCC
rnacentral:lncRNA from 1 species